rfam:Triticum aestivum genome assembly, contig: Triticum_aestivum_CS42_TGACv1_scaffold_405334_5BL
GUAGUACUCCCUCCGUUCGGAAUUGCUCGUUGAAGAAAUGAAUGUAUCUAGAUGUAUUUUAGUUGUAGAUACAUCCAUUUUUGUGACAAGUAAUUCCGAACGGAGGGAGUAAUAG